rnacentral:rRNA from 1 species
UGCGUAGGCCGCUAAGCGUGUCAGGUGUGAAAUCUCGGGGCUCAACCUCGAAACUGCGCCUGAAACUGUUUAGCUUGAGUAUUGGAGAGGUAAGCGGAAUUUCUGGUGUAGCGGUGAAAUGCGUAGAUAUCAGAAGGAACACCAAUGGCGAAGGCAGCUUACUGGACAAUAACUGACGCUGAGGCACGAAAGCGUGGGUAGCGAAAG